CAAUAGCGUAUAUUAAAGUUGUUGCAGUUAAAAAGCUCGUAGUUGGAUUUCUGGUUGAAGCGACCGGUCGGGCGUUGAUUCGUCUGCACUGGAGUCGGUUUUGGCCAUCCUCUAGGAAAGUGCGUCUGGUAUUAAGUUAUCGGGCGUAUGAUCCUGGUCUUUUACUGUGAAAAAAUUAGAGUGUUUAAAGCAGGCCUUCGCCUUGAAUACAUUAGCAUGGAAUAAUAAGAUAGGGCUUUGGUCUAUUUUGUUGGUUUGCAGACCGAAGUAAUGAUUAAUAGGGAUAGUUGGGGGUAUUUAUAUUCCGAUGUCAGAGGUGAAAUUCUUAGAUUUUCGGAAGAUAAACUUAUGCGAAAGCAUUUACCAAGGAUGUUUNCAUUAA
rnacentral:rRNA from 1 species